rnacentral:misc_RNA from 1 species
UACAGAGGUCCCAAGCGUCGUUAGGAUUCACUGGGCGUAAAGGGGGCGUAGGCGGUCGGGUAAGUUUGAUGUGAAAUCUCCGGGCUCAACCCGGAAAUGGCAUUGAAUACUAUUAGGCUAGAGAGUCGGAGGGGGGACUGGAAUACUUGGUGGAGCAGUGAAAUGCGUAGAUAUCAAGUGGAACACCAGUGGCGAAGGCGAGUCCCUGGACGAUUUCUGACGCUGAGGCACGAAAGCUAGGGGAGCAAACAGG